GAUCCUGGCUCAGGACGAACGCUGGCGGCGUGCUUAACACAUGCAAGUCGAACGAAAAUACCAAGCUUGCUUGGUUGAUUAGUGGCGAACGGGUGAGUAACACGUGAGUAACCUGCCCCUUACUUUCCUGGAUAACUGCUCGAAAGGGUAGCUAAUACGGGAUAUUCUGACCAGCCUGCAUGGGUUGGUUUGGAAAGGUUGUUUUUCUGGUAAGGGAUGGGCUCGCGGCCUAUCAGCUUGUUGGUGGGGUGAUGG
rnacentral:rRNA from 1 species